AGUUGAUUCAUCAUGCUAUGCUGCUGAUGAAGAUAAAUGAACUAUGCAAGUCAUCCUUAACUUCUCUGGUUCAGCUGCUUUCUUCUCUGAACUAUUUCAGCACCACUAUUCUAAACAAGACUUGGUCCUCUGAAGGGAACAGACUGAGCUGAGUGAGAAAGAUGUUCAAAUGUCCAGCUCUCACAACCAACGUGACCACUCAGAAGACCAUAGCCUUGACUAUAUGGACCUUUGUUGGAAGAAUAUGACAUUAGAAGAAAAGCAAUUCAAGGAAUUUUCUCAUUCAAGUUCAAAAUAGGUCUUAAAGCAGCAGAGACAAAUCUCAACAUCAACAAUGCAUUUGGCCCAGG